CUACGGGAGGCACCAGUGGGGGAUAUUGCACAAUGGAGGAAACUCUGAUGCAGCAACGCCGCGUGAAGGAAGAAGGUUUUCGGAUUGUAAACUUCUAUCAGCAGGGAAGAAAAUGACUGUACCUGACUAAGAAGCCCCGGCUAACUACGUGCCAGCAGCCGCGGUAAUACGUAGGGGGCAAGCGUUAUCCGGAAUUACUGGGUGUAAAGGGUACGUAGGCGGUUCAUUAAGUAAGAUGUGAAAGCCCGAGGCUCAACCUCGGGACUGCAUUUGAAACUGGUGAACUAGAGUACAGGAGAGGUAAGUGGAAUUCCUAGUGUAGCGGUGAAAUGCGUAGAUAUUAGGAAGAACACCAGUGGCGAAGGCGGCUUACUGGACUGUAACUGACGCUGAGGUACGAAAGCGUGGGGAGCGAACAGGAUUAGAUACCCCUGUAGUC
rnacentral:rRNA from 1 species